rnacentral:tRNA from 1 species
GUGCCUAUGGUGUAGCGGCAACACAGAUGACUGUGGAUCAUCUAUCACGGGUUCGAAUCCCGUUAGGCACC